GAGCUGGGAGACAGGAUUAGGUUGAUAUGUGCUUGAGCUACAACUUCAUCACCUGCUAUCUGUAGGACCUCAACUGAAAAAAAAAAAAAAAAAAAAGCGAAUAUUGGAGUUGGAGUUUCCAUCAUGGUGCAGCAGAAAUGAAUCCGACUAGGAACCAUGACGUUGCGGGUUCGAUCCUGCGGCCUUGCUCAGUGGGCUAAGGAUCCAGCAUUGCCAUGAGCUGUGGCGUAGGUCGCAGACGUGGCUGGAAUCUGGCAUUGCUGUGGCCCUGGCGUAGGCUGGCGGCUACAGCUGUGAUUGAACCCUUAGCCUGGGAAGCUCCAUAUGCCACAGGUGUGGUCCUAAAAAGACAAAAAAAAAAGAGAGAGAGAGAGAGAACAUUAAUACCUGUAGUAGUGUAAAAGUUUUGUAAGAAUUAGAUAAGAUUGCAUAUGUAAUUAUUUAUCAAUGCCUAGUAUACAAUCCAUAAAAAUUUCAGUCGAACUAUUAAAGUUCUGUGCUAUAGCAUCAGAUAGGGUCCUUCUUUACUUAUGAUCUAAUCUUACCUCUUGCUCCCUCCCCCCUCUAGUCUUCUCUUAUUCAGGCCAAACGUCAUUAGCUGAUCCUCAGAUUCCCUCCCGGAACAGGAAAGCACAGAUCGGAUAGCACGGUGCCAGGCGGGGACCGACCUAUGCUGAACAAGCUUGAAGGUCAUUUCUCUCAUGUAUGUUUAUAAGGAAAACACUGAUCCUCUGAGUAUGUUUCCCUUGUUCACACAGAGGCUCCAAGAAGGUCAAAUAAGUCUCAGAUGAUGCUUAACGAGUAGAAAGCCCGAACGAAGUGGCUGGAUGUCCAUUAGGAAUAGCACUGUUUCCCUUUUCUGCUCUGGGAAGGAAUCCAACAGGUACUUCCCCUGGGUCAAGCCCUAAUGGCAAAUUUUUCAGCAAAAGAGGAGGUUUUUUUCAAAUUUCUUGUCCAGAUUGCUGAGCUCUUAUCAUAUCGACAGGUUCCCAAAUGGACAGAAAGACUUAGAAAUUCCAGAGUAAUUAUCUUGCUUGAGUGUAGCUAAUAUUGAAAAUGGAAACUUUUCUCAUGGAUUUUUAAAAAUAAUAUCUUAUCAUUCACCCUUCAUUAGGUGUGAAUAACUACUGGCAGAAUGUAUUUUAGCAGAAUGAAUGUUAUCUAGUAAGGUAUCCAGAAAAAGCUGAUGUCACAUGCACACUUGCCUUAACCUCCCACUCUUUCCCCCAGUAUCACCUAUCACAGGCAUUGAGGCUCCAACCAAACUGCUGAUGCUCUUCCCUUAGCUUAGAGUACUUUUCCCAGUGCUGCUUGUUCAAAUCUACUUUUCCAUCAAGAGUAACCUCAAAUUCCACUAUUUCUAAGGAGACUUCUCUCUUUCUCCAGUGAAGAAGGGAUAAUUUCUUCUUUCUUCACAUGUCCUUAAUUAUUCUUCCUAAGCCUCUCUUAAAACACUUAGAUGUCUCAGCUGUCCUAAAAAUCUGAGUUUCUUGAGGCCAGGACUUGCAUCUUAACGUCUUGGUAUCUUUCAUCCUUGGAAGGCAAUAUAGCAUACGGUCACGGGAUCAGGAUCCUGGGUACAAACUGGGUGCUACUACUAACCAGCUGUGUGAUUGUAGGCAAUUCCUGGCAUAUUGUAAUCACUCAACAAAUGUCCCCAUUUACUAUUUAUAUUCUUCAUAACACACAGGACAAUACAUAGUAUCCAUUCUCAGCUCAGUCAAUGUUUACUGAAUGAAUAAAUGAGAAAGCAAAUGAAAAGUAGUUUGUUGUUGAGUGUUUGUUAAGGGAAUGAAUAAUUUAAUAGAUUUGGAAGAAAAUUUGUCAAACAUACUGCUUUUCACUGAACCAAAACAUAUUUCUACAAAUGUUAUGCUUAACCUUCUCCUGGGUCUCUCCUCAAUUCAUUAUUCCUUGAAGCACCCUUCCCUUAGAACCAUCUACCCAUAAACUUAUAUAAUAUUUUAUUUUUGUUUCUUUUAAGAGUGACUACUUUAUGCUAAAGAGCUGCAUUAAGCUUUUGCAGAUUGAAAGAAGAGGAUUUCUUUACUUGUCUGUGGAUCAGGCUUGUUUUCUAUGAGCAGGCAGAGGGAUCUUUGCUACAUUUAUAAUCAUAUAUUUUCUGAGUAUCAUGGCUCUUUUAACUAUAUGAUUCAGCAAUCCCACUCCUGCACAUCUAUUUGAAGAAAACCAUAAUUUGAAAAGAUACAUACACCCUAAUGUUCAUUGCAGCACUAUUUACAAUAGCCAAGAUAUGGGAGCAACCUAAAUGUCCAUUGACAGAGGAAUGGAUAAAGAAGGUGUGGUACACAUAUACAAUGGAAUAUCAGCCAUGAAAAAGAAUGAAACAAUGCCAUUUGCAGCAACAUGGAAGGGCAUAGAGAUUUUCAUACUAAAUGAAGUCAAUCAGACCGUGAAAGACAAACAUCAUAUGAUAUCACUUAUAUGUAGAAUCUAAGAGAAAUAUACAAAUGAACUUAUCUGCAGAACAGAAACAGGUCACAGACUUUGAAAACAAACUUAUGGUUACCAAAGGAGAUGGGUAGCGGGGAGGGAUGGACUGGGGUUUGGGACUGGUGUAUGCCCACUGUUGUAUGUGGAAUGACUGGCCAAUGGGGACCUGCUGAAUAGCACAGGGAACUCUACCCAAUAUUCUGUGAUAAUCUAUCUGAGAAAAGAAGCUGAAAGAGAAUGGAUGUAUGUAUAUUUAUAACUCAAUCACUUUGUUGUACAGCAGAGAUUAUCACAACAUUGUAAAUCAAAUAUACUUCAAUGAAAC
rnacentral:lncRNA from 1 species